rnacentral:lncRNA from 1 species
GUGAAAUUUCAGCUGAAACCUAAAUGGGGAGAAAGUCCAGCCAUUUAAAAAUUGCCAGAGGACAAAAUGUUGGAGAGGGGUGGUUAAUAUUCAGAAAGUAAGUUACCUGAUAUAACAGAUACUAAGCAAGAGGCAGGAAAGAGGUUGACUAGUGAAGAACUGAGAACAAAACAAAACAAAAACCACUGAGUCUGGUGCAUGAAAAACAACAGACUUAUGGUCCAACACAAGGACAGAAGCUCUUGUUUCUGGAUUAGAAGCCACUUCUCUGGAACCAAUCUGCCAGCAGGAAGGAAGGAGACAUGCUAACAUGUGUCUGGUCAGCUCUGUGAUAAAAUCAUAGGGAAUUAGAGGUAUUCCUUUCUUGAAGGAACUCGGAUUCUUGUUAGGAAACUCUAAUAAAUGUCUGUCAAUAAUGUCCAAGGAUAUGUAUUAUAGCCUGGUUACAGUGAUGAAACAUUAGAAACAACGCAAAGAACUAUCAUCAUAUAUGUUGGUACAUAAAAGCUGGAUUUUUCAUAUAGUAAAAUGUUAACCUUCAGUUAAAAUGAUUGAAUAACUCCAAGUGUUGAUAUCUUUAAAUCUUCUAAGAUGC